UCAGGAAGUAGUUUAAAAAAAAAUUUUAGUUUUGGGAAUUAAGGAUAGAGCCGGUUGAGUUCUCUUUUUGAGC
rnacentral:tRNA from 1 species